rnacentral:tRNA from 4 species
CUCUCAGUGGCCAAGCUGGCUAAGGCGCGAGACUGUAAACGUAUUUCAGCUAAUCUUGAGAUCGGGUGUUCGACUCACCCCUGGGAGA